AGGACGAACGCUGGCGGCGUGCUUAACACAUGCAAGUCGAGCGGUAAGGCCUUUCGGGGUACACGAGCGGCGAACGGGUGAGUAACACGUGGGUGAUCUGCCCUGCACUCUGGGAUAAGCCUGGGAAACUGGGUCUAAUACCGGAUAUGACCUGCUCUCGCAGUGGGGGUGGGUGGAAAGAUUUAUCGGGUGCAGGAUGGGCCCGCGGCCUAGUCAGCUUGGUUGGUGGGGUAAUCGGCCUACCAAGGCGACGACGGGUAGCCGACCUGGAGAGGGUGACCGGCCACGACUGGGACUGAGACGACGGCCCAGACGUCCGUACGGGAGGCAGCAGGUGGGGAAUAUUGCACAAGUGGGACGAAAGCUGAUGCAGCGACGCCGCGUGAGGAUGGAACGUCCGUUCGGGUU
rnacentral:rRNA from 1 species